rnacentral:rRNA from 1 species
AGUGAACGCUGGCGGCAUGCCUUACACAUGCAAGUCGAACGGCAGCGCGGGCUUCGGCCUCGCGGCGAGGUGGGAACGGGCGAGUAAUACAUCGGAACGUGCCCAGCAGCGGGGGAUAGGGGGGCGAAAGAGGGAUUAAUACGGUAUACGAGCUUAGGGUGAAAGGGGGGGAUCAUGGGAUCUCGGGCUAUUGGAGCGGCCGAUGGCAGAUUAGCUAGUUGGUGGGGUAAAGGGCUACCAAGGCGACGAUCCGUAGCUGGUCUGAGAGGACGACCAGCCACACUGGAACUGAGACACGGCCCAGACUCCUACGGGAGGCAGCAGUGGGGAAUUUUGGACAAUGGGCGAAAGCCUGAUCCAGCAAUGCCGCGUGUGUGAUGAAGGCCUUCGGGUUGUAAAGCACUUUUGGCGGGAAAGAAAAGGAGUGUGCCAAUACCACGGUUUGCUGACGGUACCCGAAGAAUAAGCACCGGCUAACUACGUG